rnacentral:lncRNA from 1 species
UUUCAUUUUUCUUCUAAAAUAGAGUUCUGUUUGGAAUCGUGCUAAACAUUACGCAUGCAGUCAGUCCGAACCUAGCGAGUUGAGAAAAAAUCGGAGAGUAAUCGGAGAUUAAUCGAGGAUUAGUUUUAAUUGAUUUUAGGAUAUAUACUACUUCGUGUAGAACAAUCAACGAAUUCUAUGUAGCAUAGUGGUUAGUGCACUUUGUUUACAGGUAGAGGAUAAAGGUUCAACCCUUGAUAGAGUGUUUUUCCCCCUUUUUUCAUUUUUUUCUUAAAUGAUGGUGAAUUACCUAAAUUGCCCUCAUCUUCUUCUUCACCAUACACGACCUGCAACCCUAAUUUCCGCCCCUCUCCACUGAUUUCAUGUUUCAUCACCAUUUAAACUCUUUUUCUUGUGUUUUUGAUCAAUUGCAAUAGAUUUUUAACAAUAUAUAUAAGAAUUUUAACACCACAAUUUUUUUUUUUUAAUUUUUUCUUCCGAAAACCCGAGUUAUUGAGCGAAUAGAUCCAAAUCGCCACGGUCCAUGGCCGAGUCACGUUUCAGCGCCGAUUAAACGUCCAACUCGCCCGCGUUUUAGAACAGGAAAAUAGAGUAAAAGUGAAAAUGUAGUAACUCUACUUCAUUUCCCACUUUAUAAUGGAGUGAUGAACGAACAAAAAAUAGAUUACUUCAUCUAAUAUAUUAAAAUAGAAGUCAUGGCUUCUUUUCAUGUGUGAUUUUUUUUAAUUUGGGCCAUUCCUAGAAAAUAUCAUAUUUUACAUAAGUUCAUUAUUAUAUCUUUUAAUAUCUUUAUCUUUUUAUUUGAAAUACAAAUGAAUAUAUUUAAAAUGUUGUAACAAAAUCUUUUUAAAAUCUUCUUAAAAUAUUUUUAAAUUUGUUUUCGAAAAUUAGUUAGUUUAAUUUAAAUUAUCAUAAAAUAUAAUUAGAAAUUAAAAUUGAAUACAGUUUUGGUUUAUAAACGAAAAUUUAAAUAAAAUGAAAUUAAUUAAUUUCAAAAAUAAAUUUACUAAUAAUUUUUAAAGAUUUUGUUAGAAAUAAAUAUUUAUUUCUAUUUUAACUUUUUUCAAAUUUGUUUUCUAAUAA